UCCGCUCGAUCCAACUCCUCCCUCUUCCUCGGUCUCGCCUCAACCUACGCAGACGCAUGUCCUCUUCCCGAUAACCCUAGCCGCCGCGCUGAUCCUCCCCUAACUGCCGCCGCUAAUCUUCUCUCCCCUAACCGCAGGUGCACGCCAUUCUUUUCCCCUUCCUCCUGCUAACGACGUCCCUCCACUCUGCAACGCAGAUCAAUCGAUGUGGGCGGGGCACGUGGCGAUCCCCAGUCGGGCUACAUAGGGCCGACGACGAUCUGGACAGGGGCGGUUUGAGGCGCUCGCGCACGGAGUGGAUCCAGCAGCGGCCAUGUCCUGCAUCAAAGAUGCGGCUAGGAAUCGGAGGAGAGAUGGGAGAGAGGAGGAAGGGACCGGGGAUGGGCUCAGUGAUGCGGCGACGCUUGCGGAGGCUAGCUGGCGGCUGAGUCACACGGCAACGGCAGCGCGCGUGUGGCAUCCUCCCUGGUGGGGCGAGCAGGAAGGAGUAGGUGCACGGGAGGCGUAGGCGCUGUGGCCUAUCUGCAGAGGUGGACGACGGUAAUAGGGGAACUGGAACAAGCGCCAGAAGCGGCCAUGAACAUAGAUGCACAGUUCUGCAAGGAAGAAACCAGGGUGUACAGAGGAAGGGAGAUCUCACCCCAGGUCUCCGAGCUAUUAACUGGGAAGAUGAACCCCAGGCAGCCGGGCUGGACUGGUUUAAAAGUAACCCGUAAAACUUACUGAUUUUAAUUCACUUGGUACACGUCAUCAGUGAUUCAGUACGUGAUGCCGGUAUUGAGUGUACUAGCAGUCUACAGAUAGAUUUGCGUCCGUAUGCUGAGCUUGUUCUGAGGAUAAUAUUUUUUUGAUUGAAUCCAAUAUAAGGUAACUAAUAGAAAUACAAUAGUACUACUAAUGACAGUCUCACUGUUGGGAAGUUUUUUGAUGGAUAUUUAGUCGAGACAGCUAUUUCUACCAUGGAAUAAUUGCAAUUUAGCUAUGUGACGCCGAUGAAUUAUAUAAAGUUUAGAAAUGCAUGUAUGUCGAUUUAAUUUAACGGACAUGGUCUUUUAUGUUGAUUUCAGCUGAGCAGUAGGAAACAUUGGUGCAGAGUAAGGAUUGCAUCAGCGGCACCAUGCCCUUAUCGGGCGAAAACUCUUGAUAAAGAGAUAAGGGGAUUCGCUGACUAUCCAAUACAUAAUGUGAUUGUACUGGUGCUGGGGACAAGUUUUGACUCUUUAUGAUAGAGACGUGUGGUUUUUACAACCUAUUCUCUUGGGAGAAAGGUUUUGGGAUCAGAUAUUGGAAAAGCAGGUCAAUGUUGAGAGGACAAAAUUUAAUUACGAAAUAGUGUGUCGAUAUGUAGUGAGUUUUAUUUCAUUGCGACAUAUUUCAGUGUUUGGACAGUGUGUGUGUGUGUGUGUGUGUGUGUGAGUUGAGUUCUGAGAAGCAUUUUUUCCCAUGUUGACAACAUGCAGGGUGAAGCAGGUGUGUAGAACACACGAUCUUGCCGAUGUGAGUACCCUGCUCUAAUAAAUUGCUUAGAUCAGAGCACAGGGGUUAAGAAGUACAUGAGACUGCAGUUUGAUAUGCACACGACAUUUGACAUUUGACAUUUGACACGCUUGGGAGAGGGGAGGUGUUGGGAGGAGGAGACGUCAUGGAGCCCAAGAGCGGAUGCAACAGAAGAAGCAGCACCGUUGCCGUGCACUAAGCAGGUUGACAGAGUCUGCGAGGUGGAAGAUCCAUAGCAUACAGUUUUCAACCAUCCAUCGCUGAACCUACAGGAGCCUGAUGCCAUGUGUUUUUUUACCAAUCAAACUACUUGGAGAACCAAAGAAAGUUGUUUUUUCUAUCUCCACUAGGAGUCGGAAAUGAGAACGCCAUCUCUGCAUAACUGAACGAAGUGACUGAAAAUUUAUGUUAUAUAUGGUACAACCUUACGAGAGAAUUAUUUCUGUACAUGUAGAACACAGUUACAUGUAUGCCUUCAAAGUUAUUUGUUAUUUAUAUAUGUAUAAAUGAGCUUGGCUUUCAACCCUGCAAGGUUUACAAUUUCUCAGUUUUAUCAAGUCAUCCACAGUUUUAAUUAUCAUAUGUAUAAUUGUGCCUGAUACUCCAAAUGCCCAUUCGGCCAGGUUGAUUUACAAGGGUUGUGUGGAGCGAACUCUGUUCCUCUAAACCAAGGGGUACUUUUGGCCCUUUUCCUGGCAUCCGACAUAGUCGAUGAGAUAUCCCUGAAGCUUCAAUGGAUACAGAGUUUGAACCAUUUAGCAUUUGGGACCACGAGGAUUCCGAUUGGGAGAAUGACGCCGUCCAUAGAUUCAUGGCGAGACGUUGGUGGACAGGAGGGUUGACCAUUGGGCGAUGCGCUGCACGAGUAGGUCAGGAGGAACAAGAGUAGAAGAGGACUGUAGCCUGUAGGUGAGAGAAGAUGAUGCCAUUGCCAUCUUGACUGAAGGUUGGGCAUCUAAAGAUGCUUGUCAACCAGAACUCUGAAGCUAAACACCACUUGAAGGUACCUGGAAAUACAUUACUUGCUGAAGCUGCACAUCCUAUGCCCCAGGAGGAGGCCGAAUGCAUAUUCCGAUCAUGUGAUCUAAAUACUAAAGCUUCCUUGCUGGAUCUAAGGUUUAAUUUCUCAGCCCCAAUGCUGGCUCUUAGGGUAAUACAACUUCUACUCCAUAUUUUUAUGCCCUCCACAUAAAUCCAUCACUCUCUUGUUGCCUUGAAGCAUACUUCUGUCGCAGCCGGAGCUGAACAUUUGGAGAGACCAUACUGUAGCAAGCUUGCUUUCCAGGGACCUGGUGUUUCUGCAAACCCAACGAUAGGUGUGUUUGAAAAAAAGGACAGUUCGUGUUGCAAUUUUAUGAAAACUUGCUUAUGCGGUGUUAUUGCAAUGGUACAAAAAAUGUCAUGGUCUUUUUCUUCCUAUUUAGAUCGCCACCUACCUAUUAAUUACGACUCUGGGCAGGGCAGAAUGUCACCAUAAUUUUUGUUCAACAACUAGAUUUCAUCCCAAGACGUGCCAUCUCUCUAAUUUGACUCUGAGCAUGUAAUACAGUUAGUUAAUCAUGUGGGUUGGUCUUGUGUCUUCCAGCUGCAAUUGAAUUACUCUAAGCGAUCGAGGCCCUACUAAUUAAUUAACCUGGCUAUUUGCUUGCUUCUUGUACCUACAGCAUGCUCUCUGACUUUUUUUAUCGCAGUAUGCAAGCUUCUAAGCGCCGGAUUGAUGUCGUACUAACAAAUUAAGGUUCCGGAAGAUGUCAUGAAGAAUUUCUUUGAGAGAAUUUGCGUGAGGUGCUGCCAGUGUGGAAGAGGAGAUUCGAGCCUCAUAAGUGAAUACGGAAAUCCAUCUGAACUGGUAUCCAUCCCUGUGCCUGCCUCUCUCCAAAACUCCUUCCCGCACUUGAUUGAGCAAAAGAUGCAGCUUCAAUAAUUGAGCGGCGUGGAAGGUGACCUUGGCUGUAGGCAGCAGCUCCUUUGGCUGAUCUGCGGCGAUGCAGAAGUUGGCUUGGAAAGAAGCACGACCGGCUGCUCUGAAGUGGGUCGUAGGGAGGGCUUCGUAAGAGUUAGGGAGGGAGCUCUAUUAGCCAGUGCAUGACAUCCAACCCAAUGGCAUCAUGCCCUGGUAGGCAUGGUUGCGUGGCCACGGGGAGAAUGAAGCAAGUAGCGUGUGAGGAGUUUAAGAAAUGGGGACAGGGGACAGUUAAUUAAGGCUCUAUGUUAGUUUCAAGUUUUAUCCUUGUUGAGUACAUGAAGGUGGAACAUGAGGAAGGGUGGGAGAAGAUUAGAUAUCGUUUCAUUUUCUUGCAAGGAGAGGAUGGUUACGAAGAAAUGGCAAGAAAUGGAGAGAGAAUCAGGUUUAUUACUGUAUGGAUGGAAACCACAUGCCAGCUUGUCCAACAUAUUUCUACAUUGAGUCAAUUAUUCGACCGCUAUGUUUUUUUUAUUCCAUGGCAAUGCAUGGUCAUUCAACUAUUCAAAUUUACAGAUCAAAGAUCAAAACUGAUGGCUUUUUAUUGACAAAGCUUUAUGGUGAACCAAACUGAAAAAUCAUUGGGGUUUACACAAUCAGAAGAGAUGCAUACAAAUAAUUGUUCUUUAUAUAUUUGUUGUGCAUGAUAAUACAAAAGGUAUGUUUCUAUACAUAUUUAUUUUUGCAGAGUAUGAAAGAGAUGGAGAUGGAUUAUGUCAACGUUCAAAAAGAAUUAAUCGACAAGGGUGUUGAGGCGAUGUCAUUGGAAGGGCCCAAAAAUUCAUUAAGAAUUAUACAACAAAAGGCCCAUGGCAACGCACUGGCAUUUUUAUACACACGACAUUUGACAUGCAUUAUGUUCAUAUAUGCAACCAACAGUUAAUGCAUUCGAUGUGUAUAUCACUCCCUCCGUCCUAAAAUACUUGUCAUCAAGAUGGAUAAAAAUGAAUGUAUCUAGAACUAAAAUACGUCUAGAUACAUCUUCUUUUAUCCAUUUUGAUGACAAGUAUUUCCGGACGGAGGGAGUAUUUUUUUUGUAUGUGACAAUGCACAAGCAUUGAACUAACUGUAUGAAAGGAAACCAUUUCAAUUUCCCCUUUCCAAGAACAAGGAAUUCUUAUGUAUUGGAACACAUACGCUUGGAGGACUUCAGGGGGAGAGAGCGACAAUAUUACAUGAAUACAGAUGUGCCAAUUGCAAAGACUUUACGGUGGUGAUACAGAGGCAUUCCUCUGUUCAUUAACUCAGAUUCAGACUCUAAUAUAUGCAGGCAGUAUGAUCAAUAACUGUCAAAGAGUAAUAUGACGUUCUCAAAUUGCCAAGAUAUGCAGGAGACAUUGUAACAAAAGCUGCAAUCUCUAUGUAGCUAUUUACUUCAAUUGAUGAAUUCACUUCAUGACAGGACAUGGUGUGUCGUGGAAGAUUGUUGUUUAAUU